rnacentral:rRNA from 1 species
UAGCUUGCUAUCUGCUGACGAGCGGCGGACGGGUGAGUAAUGCUUGGGAAUAUGCCUUUUGGUGGGGGACAACAGUUGGAAACGACUGCUAAUACCGCAUAACGUCUACGGACCAAAGUGGGGGACCUUCGGGCCUCACGCCAAGAGAUUAGCCCAAGUGGGAUUAGCUAGUUGGUGAGGUAAUGGCUCACCAAGGCAACGAUCCCUAGCUGGUUUGAGAGGAUGAUCAGCCACACUGGAACUGAGACACGGUCCAGACUCCUACGGGAGGCAGCAGUGGGGAAUAUUGCACAAUGGGCGCAAGCCUGAUGCAGCCAUGCCGCGUGUGUGAAGAAGGCCUUCGGGUUGUAAAGCACUUUCAGUCAGGAGGAAAGGUUAGUAGUUAAUAGCUACUAGCUGUGACGUUACUGACAGAAGAAGCACCGGCUAACUCCGUGCCAGCAGCCGCGGUAAUACGGAGGGUGCGAGCGUUAAUCGGAAUUACUGGGCGUAAAGCGUACGCAGGCGGUUUGUUAAGCGAGAUGUGAAAGCCCCGGGCUCAACCUGGGAACUGCAUUUCGAACUGGCAGACUAGAGUGUGAUAGAGGGUGGUAGAAUUUCAGGUGUAGCGGUGAAAUGCGUAGAGAUCUGAAGGAAUACCGAUGGCGAAGGCAGCCACCUGGGUCAACACUGACGCUCAUGUACGAAAGCGUGGGGAGCAAACGGGAUUAGAUACCCCGGUAGUCCACGCCGU